rnacentral:rRNA from 1 species
GAGAGUGGCGCACGGGUGCGUAACGCGUAUGCAACCUACCUUGUACAGGGGGAUAGCCCGGAGAAAUUCGGAUUAAUACCCCAUAGCAUUAUCAGAUGGCAUCUGAAGAUAAUUAAAGAUUUAUCGGUACAAGAUGGGCAUGCGUGACAUUAGUUAGUUGGUAAGGUAACGGCUUACCAAGACUAUGAUGUCUAGGGGUUCUGAGAGGAUGAUCCCCCACACUGGUACUGAGAUACGGACCAGACUCCUACGGGAGGCAGCAGUAGGGAAUAUUGGUCAAUGGGCGAGAGCCUGAACCAGCCAUGCCGCGUGCAGGAAGACGGCCUUCUGGGUUGUAAACUGCUUUUCUACGGGAAGAAAAUGCCCUUGCGAGGGAAAUUGCCGGUACCGUAGGAAUAAGCACCGGCUAACUCCGUGCCAGCAGCCGCGGUAAUACGGAGGGUGCAAGCGUUGUCCGGAUUUAUUGGGUUUAAAGGGUGCGUAGGCGGAUCUUUAAGUCAGUGGUGAAAGCCUGCAGCUUAACUGUAGAACUGCCAUUGAUACUGGAGGUCUUGAGUACACUAGAGGUAGGCGGAAUUUAUGGUGUAGCGGUGAAA